CGUUGAAACACCGGUUCUCGUACGAUCCCCGAAGUUAAGCAACAUCGAACCUGGUCAGUACCUUGAUGAGCAACUGCUUGGGAAUACCAGAUGUUGUAAG